rnacentral:misc_RNA from 1 species
UUAACAAAGGAAUCGGAAAGUUUGCUCGACAAAAUCCGACCACCGCUUCUCGAAGAUGCAGGUCUCGAAGAUUGUGCUCUACCACCGGAAUUAAUCAAAGAGGCAUUUUUCAAAGCUGCCACCGCCGUACGAUCUAUGAUUCCGCUAACGGAUGACGAAUUCGAAGGCCAGUGUGUGAAAACUCCUUCGCCAAUCGAGGAUUCUACUAAGGAUGCUCUUGUAGGAAUGACGGAGGGUAUUGACAACAUUCCCGGAAAAUGUGUUACGGAGAAGGGCGGCGGCGGUGAAGUGCCGGAAGUAACGAGCGACGUGGUGGCUGACAAUAAGGAUCCGGAAGAGGGCGGUGACUUGGUGGGUGGAUCGUCUCUUCCGGAAGGAGGUCAAUCUUGUGUGGAUGGGCUGCAGGGUUUGGAGAUUGGAGACAAAGGGGGAAAAAUUAAGAAAAAGGAAGAGGAAGAAAGUGAGAAGCCAACUCUGGUUGAAGGUUUUGUAUGAGCAAUUCUAGUUUUGCUGCAUAUCUUGUAAAUUUCUUUGAAUUAUUAUUGUACGAGUACUAAAACAUUGUCUAUUUGAAG